UGCCAAGCCCAGACACUGAUGCCCAGAA
rnacentral:piRNA from 1 species